GAUGAACGCUGGCGGCGUGCCUAAUACAUGCAAGUCGAGCGAACAGACGAGGAGCUUGCUCCUCUGACGUUAGCGGCGGACGGGUGAGUAACACGUGGAUAACCUACCUAUAAGACUGGGAUAACUUCGGGAAACCGGAGCUAAUACCGGAUAAUAUAUUGAACCGCAUGGUUCAAUAGUGAAAGACGGUUUUGCUGUCACUUAUAGAUGGAUCCGCGCCGCAUUAGCUAGUUGGUAAGGUAACGGCUUACCAAGGCAACGAUGCGUAGCCGACCUGAGAGGGUGAUCGGCCACACUGGAACUGAGACACGGUCCAGACUCCUGCGGGAGGCAGCAGUAGGGAAUCUUCCGCAAUGGGCGAAAGCCUGACGGAGCAACGCCGCGUGAGUGAUGAAGGUCUUCGGAUCGUAAAACUCUGUUAUUAGGGAAGAACAAAUGUGUAAGUAACUAUGCACGCCUUGACGGUACCUAAUCAGAAAGCCACGGCUAACUACGUG
rnacentral:rRNA from 1 species